rnacentral:misc_RNA from 1 species
GAUGAAGAACGUAGCGAAAUGCGAUAAGUAAUGUGAAUUGCAGAAUUCAGUGAAUCAUCGAAUCUUUGAACGCAUCUUGCGCUCCUUGGUAUUCUGAGGAGCAUGCCUGUUUGAGUGUCAUUAAAUUCUCAACUACACUGACUUUGAAUUGGUGUGGCUUGGAUUUGGGGGGAAAAUUGUUGUGGGCUCUUUGUAUAGUCUGCUCCCCUGAAAUUGAUUAGCGGUACCUUUGUGGAACUGUCUACAGGUGUGAUAAUUAUCUACAUCUUAGACAUCUGCUGGAAUGCUGCUUUCUAAACCUUACUUGUAUUGACAAUCUUGACCUCAAAUCAGGUAGGACUACCCGCUGAACUUAAGCAUAUCAAUAAGCGGAGGA